GACGAACGCUGUCGGCGUGCUUAACACAUGCAAGUCGAACGGAAAGGCCCUGCUUUUGUGGGGUGCUCGAGUGGCGAACGGGUGAGUAACACGUGAGUAACCUGCCCUUGACUUUGGGAUAACUUCAGGAAACUGGGGCUAAUACCGGAUAGGAGCUCCUGCUGCAUGGUGGGGGUUGGAAAGUUUCGGCGGUUGGGGAUGGACUCGCGGCUUAUCAGCUUGUUGGUGGGGUAGUGGCUUACCAAGGCUUUGACGGGUAGCCGGCCUGAGAGGGUGACCGGCCACAUUGGGACUGAGAUACGGCCCAGACUCCUACGGGAGGCAGCAGUGGGGAAUAUUGCACAAUGGGCGGAAGCCUGAUGCAGCAACGCCGCGUGCGGGAUGACGGCCUUCGGGUUGUAAACCGCUUUCGCCUGUGACGAAGCGUGAGUGACGGUAAUGGGUAAAGAAGCACCGGCUAACUACGUGCCAGCAGCCGCGGUGAUACGUAGGGUGCGAGCGUUGUCCGGAUUUAUUGGGCGUAAAGGGCUCGUAGGUGGUUGAUCGCGUCGGAAGUGUAAUCUUGGGGCUUAACCCUGAGCGUGCUUUCGAUGCGGGUUGACUUGAGGAAGGUAGGGGAGAAUGGAAUUCCUGGUGGAGCGGUGGAAUGCGCAGAUAUCAGGAGGAACACCAGUGGCGAAGGCGGUUCUCUGGGCCUUUCCUGACGCUGAGGAGCGAAAGCGUGGGGAGCGAACAGGCUUAGAUACCCUGGUAGUCCACGCUGUAAACGGUGGGUACUAGGUGUGGGGUCCAUUCCACGGGUUCCGUGCCGUAGCUAACGCUUUAAGUACCCCGCCUGGGGAGUACGGCCGCAAGGCUAAAACUCAAAGGAAUUGACGGGGCCCCGCACAAGCGGCGGAGCAUGCGGAUUAAUUCGAUGCAACGCGUAGAACCUUACCUGGGUUUGACAUGGAUCGGGAGUGCUCAGAGAUGGGUGUGCCUCUUUUGGGGUCGGUUCACAGGUGGUGCAUGGCUGUCGUCAGCUCGUGUCGUGAGAUGUUGGGUUAAGUCCCGCAACGAGCGCAACCCUUGUUCACUGCUGCCAGCACGUUAUGGUGGGGACUCAGUGGAGACCGCCGGGGUCAACUCGGAGGAAGGUGGGGAUGACGUCAAGUCAUCAUGCCCCUUAUGUCCAGGGCUUCACGCAUGCUACAAUGGCUGGUACAGAGAGUGGCGAGCCUGUGAGGGUGAGCGAAUCUCGGAAAGCCGGUCUCAGUUCGGAUUGGGGUCUGCAACUCGACCUCAUGAAGUCGGAGUCGCUAGUAAUCGCAGAUCAGCAACGCUGCGGUGAAUACGUUCCCGGGGCU
rnacentral:rRNA from 1 species